rnacentral:rRNA from 1 species
UACGUAGGGUGCGAGCGUUGUCCGGAAUUAUUGGGCGUAAAGAGCUCGUAGGCGGUUUGUCACGUCUGCUGUGAAAUCCCGAGGCUCAACCUCGGGCCUGCAGUGGGUACGGGCAGACUAGAGUCAGGUAGGGGAGAACGGAAUUCCUGGUGUAGCGGUGAAAUGCGCAGAUAUCAGGAGGAACACCCGUGGCGAAGGCGGCCAUCUGGACCGGUACUGACGCUAAGGCGCGACAGCGUGGGGAGCAAACAGG